rnacentral:tRNA from 1 species
GUCCCCUUAGUCUAACGGUUAGGACACGGGCCCUUCAAGCCUGAGAUACGGGUUCGAUUCCCGUAGGGGGCACCA